CGGCCGAGGUGGUCACGGUGGCCGGGCGGUUCUGGCUCGCCUGGGCCGAGGGGCCGUUCGACGCGGUGCUGGUCGA
rnacentral:tRNA from 1 species